UCCUUCCUGCCCUCUCAGGGCUCUGAGUACUCUCUGCACAGUCUCUGAAGGCCAGGAUGAGCUCCCCAUGGCAGCUGUUCUGGCUCCUGGUGCUCUGGUCUCAGGAUUCCCAAGGAGCCAUUGUGCUGACCCAGUCUCCAGCCUCCUUGUCCAGAUCUCCAGGAGAGAGAGUCACCAUCAGCUGCAAGGCCAGUCAGAGUGUAUCUGAUUCUAGUAAUAGCUACUUGUACUGGUACCAACAAAAACCAGGCCAAGUCCCCAGACUCCUCAUCUCCUAUGCUACCAGCCUGGAAUCCGGGGCUCCUGCCAGGUUCAGCAGCAGUAGGUCUGGGACAGAUUUCACUCUCACCAUCAGCAGCCUGGAGCCUGAAGAUGGUGGACAUUAUUACUGUCAGCAUGGUUAUGGAAUACCUGCCACAGUGCUUCAGGCCUGAACAAAAACCUCCCCAGUGUGUCCAGGGGACUGAGCUCAGAGCAGCAGGUGCCUCCUCGGGGUCCCCAGGGCAGAGCAGCCCCUGCUCUCUGGGCAGGCUCACACUUCCCAGUGCUUCUCCU